rnacentral:rRNA from 1 species
GAUCCAGACUCCUACGGGAGGCAGCAGUGAGGAAUAUUGGUCAAUGGGCGGAAGCCUGAACCAGCCAAGUCGCGUGAGGGAAGAAGGCCCUGCGGGUCGCAGACCUCUUUGGACGGGGAGCAAGGCCGCCGACGUGUCGGCGGAAGGAGAGUACCCGUAGAACAAGCAUCGGCUAACUCCGUGCCAGCAGCCGCGGUAAUACGGAGGAUGCGAGCGUUAUCCGGAUUUAUUGGGUUUAAAGGGUGCGUAGGUUGUUUUUUAAGUCAGCGGUGAAAGUUUGUGGCUCAACCAUAAAAUUGCCGUUGAAACUGGAAGACUUGAGUGUGUUUGAGGUAGGCGGAAUGCGUGGUGUAGCGGUGAAAUGCAUAGAUAUCACGCAGAACUCCGAUUGCGAAGGCAGCUUACUAAGCCAUAACUGACACUGAAGCACGAAAGCGUGGGGAUCAAACAGGAUUAGAUACCCCCGUAC